rnacentral:rRNA from 1 species
CCUACGGGAGGCAGCAGUGGGGAAUAUUGGACAAUGGGCGAAAGCCUGAUCCAGCAAUGCCGCGUGAGUGAUGAAGGCCUUCGGGUCGUAAAGCUCUUUUACCAGGGAUGAUAAUGACAGUACCUGGAGAAUAAGCUCCGGCUAACUCCGUGCCAGCAGCCGCGGUAAUACGGAGGGAGCUAGCGUUGUUCGGAAUUACUGGGCGUAAAGAGUACGUAGGCGGUUAUUCAAGUCAGAGGUGAAAGCCCGGGGCUCAACCCCGGAACUGCCUUUGAAACUAGAUAACUAGAGUCUUGGAGAGGUUAGUGGAAUUCCGAGUGUAGAGGUGAAAUUCGUAGAUAUUCGGAAGAACACCAGUGGCGAAGGCGACUAACUGGACAAGUACUGACGCUGAGGUACGAAAGCGUGGGGAGCAAACAGGAUUAGAUACCCUGGUAGUCCACGCCGUAAACGAUGAUAACUAGUUGUUCGGUCACUUGGUGACUGAGUGACGCAGCUAACGCAUUAAGUUAUCCGCCUGGGGAUACGGUCGCAAGNUUAAAACUCAAAGGAAUUGACGGCUGAGANGCGAGACGACACGAGGAGAG